rnacentral:lncRNA from 1 species
ACUCGAAAGGUAAAUUUCCACGACAUUCCCUUUUAUCUUCUACUAAAACAAGAAAAUUCAAAAAAAAGGUCAGUUAGUAUCCUCGAACUUUCCCAUUCAGUCAGCAUUAGGGUUUUAAACCCUAAACUGAACUUUACCCUCUAGUCAGCAUUAGGGUUUUAAACUCUAAACUGAACUUUUCCUUUAGUCAGCAUUAGAGUUUUAAACCCUAAACUGAACUUUUUCCAUGUAGUCAGAAUUAGGGUUUUAAACCCUAAAUUGAACUUUUUCUUUAGUCAGCAUUAGGGUUUUAAACCCUAAACCGAACUUUUUCCUUUAGUCAGCAUUAGAGUUUUAAAACCCUAAACUGAACUUUCCCAUUCAACCAGCUUUAGGGUUUUAAACCCUAAACUGAACUUUUUCUCUUAGUCAGCAUUAGGGUUUUAAACCCUAAACUGAACUUUCCCAUCCAGUCAGCAUUAGGGGUUUUAAACCCUAAACUGAACUUUUCCCUCUAGUCAGCAUUAGGGUUUUAAACCCUAAACUGAACUUUUCCUUUAGUCAGCAUUAGGGUUUUAGACCCUAAACUGAACUUUUUCCAUGUAGUCAGAAUUAGGGUUUUAAACCCUAAAUUGAACUUUUUCUUUAGUCAGCAUUAGGGUUUUAAACCCUAAACCGAACCUUUUCCUUUAGUCAGCAUUAGGGUUUUAAACCCUAAACUGAACUUUUCCCUCUAGUCAGCAUUAGGGUUUUAAACCCUAAACUGAACUUUUCCUUUAGUCAGCAUUAGGAUUUUAAACCCUAAACUGAACUUUUCCCUUUAGUCAGCAUUAGGGUUUUAAACCCUAAACUGAACUUUCCUAUUCAGUAAGCAUUAGGGUUUUAAACCCUAAACUAAACUUUUCCUUUAGUCAGCAUUAGGGUUAUAAACCCUAAACUGAACUUUU